AUUUAUGCUAAGUGGAAAAGGAUGUGGCGUUGCACAGACAACUAGGAUGUUGGCUCAGAAGCAGCCACCAUUUAAAGAGUGCGUAAUAGCUCACUAGUCGAGUGGCACUGCGCCGAAAAUAUACCGGGGCUAAGCAUAAUACCGAAACUGUGGGUGCACCCGUAAGGGUGCGCGGUAGGAGAGCGUUCUAAGGGCGUUGAAGGUCGAUCGUGAGGACGGCUGGAGCGCUUAGAAGUGAGAAUGCCGGCAUGAGUAGCGAAAGAUCAGUGAGAAUCUGAUCCACCGUAUGACUAAGGUUUCCUGGGGAAGGCUCGUCCUCCCAGGGUUAGUCGGGAUCUAAGGCGAGGCCGAGAGGCGUAGUCGAUGACAAGCAGGUUGAGAUUCCUGCACUAGUUUAUUUUGUUUAAGCGAUGGAGGGACGCAGGAGGCUAAGGAAAGCGCACGGCUGGAAAUGUGCGCCCAAGCAGCAAGUCUGACAGCGAGUGAAAUGCUUGCAGUCUUAAGGACAAGCUGUGAUGGGGAGCGAAAUUAUAGUAGCGAAGUUCCUGAUGUCACACUGCCAAGAAAAGCUUCUAGUGAGAAAUAAACUACCCGUACCGCAAACCGACACAGGUAGUCGAGGAGAGUAUCCUCAGGUGAGCGAGCGAACUCUCGUUAAGGAACUCGGCAAAAUGACCCCGUAACUUCGGAAGAAGGGGUGCUGACCGCAAGGUCAGCCGCAGUGAAUAGGCCCAAACAACUGUUUAUCAAAAACACAGGUCUCUGCUAAAUCGUAAGAUGAUGUAUAGGGGCUGACGCCUGCCCGGUGCUGGAAGGUUAAGAGGAUGAGUUAGCGCAAGCGAAGCCCAGAAUUGAAGCCCCAGUAAACGGCGGCCGUAACUAUAACGGUCCUAAGGUAGCGAAAUUCCUUGUCGGGUAAGUUCCGACCCGCACGAAAGGCGUAAUGAUUUGGGCACUGUCUCAACGAGAGACUCGGUGAAAUUAUAGUACCCGUGAAGAUGCGGGUUACCCGCGACAGGACGGAAAGACCCCAUGGAGCUUUACUGUAGCUUGAUAUUGAGUGUUUGUACCGCUUGUACAGGAUAGGUAGGAGCCGUAGAGAUCGGAACGCUAGUUUCGAUGGAGGCGUUGGUGGGAUACUACCCUAGCUGUAUGAACACUCUAACCCGCGCCACUAAUCGUGGCGGGAGACAGUGUCAGGUAGGCAGUUUGACUGGGGCGGUCGCCUCCUAAAAUGUAACGGAGGCGCCCAAAGGUUCCCUCAGAAUGGUUGGAAAUCAUUCGCAGAGUGUAAAGGUAUAAGGGAGCUUGACUGCGAGACUGACAAGUCGAGCAGGGACGAAAGUCGGGCUUAGUGAUCCGGUGGUUCCGUAUGGAAGGGCCAUCGCUCAACGGAUAAAAGCUACCCUGGGGAUAACAGGCUUAUCUCCCCCAAGAGUCCACAUCGACGGGGAGGUUUGGCACCUCGAUGUCGGCUCAUCGCAUCCUGGGGCUGUAGUCGGUCCCAAGGGUUGGGCUGUUCGCCCAUUAAAGCGGUACGCGAGCUGGGUUCAGAACGUCGUGAGACAGUUCGGUCCCUAUCCGUCGCGGGCGCAGGAAAUUUGAGAGGAGCUGUCCUUAGUACGAGAGGACCGGGAUGGACGUUCCGCUGGUGUACCAGUUGUGCCGCCAGGCGCAUCGCUGGGUAGCUAUGAACGGCAGGGAUAAACGCUGAAAGCAUCUAAGUGUGAAGCCCCCCUCGAGAUGAGAUUUCCCAUUCCUAUAUGGAAGUAAGACCCCUGAGAGAUGAUCAGGUAGAUAGGCUGGAAGUGGAAGUGCAGCGAUGCAUGGAGCGGACCAGUACUAAUCGGUCGAGGACUUAACCAAG
rnacentral:rRNA from 1 species